GGAGGCAGAGAAGGCUGCUGACGAGAGUGAGAGAGGCAUGAAGGUGAUAGAGAACCGAGCCAUGAAAGACGAGGAAAAGAUGGAGAUCCAGGAGAUGCAACUCAAAGAAGCCAAGCACAUCGCUGAGGAGGCUGACCGGAAGUAUGAGGAGGUUGCUCGUAAGUUGGUCAUCCUGGAGGGUGAGCUGGAGAGAGCAGAGGAGCGGGCGGAGGUGUCUGAACUAAAGAGUAGCGACCUGGAAGAGGAGCUCAAGAACGUAACUAACAAUCUGAAAUCACUGGAGGCUGCUUCUGAAAAGUACUCUGAAAAGGAGGAUAAAUAUGAAGAAGAAAUCAAGCUUCUGUCUGACAAACUGAAAGAGGCUGAGACCCGAGCUGAGUUUGCGGAAAGGACAGUUUCUAAACUGGAGAAGACAAUCGAUGACCUGGAAGGUAGGAAUCUCCAUUUUCCUAAGUGACAUGAAAGUUGAGUGAGGAGGUCUGUGGAGGGACAGAGCUGUGCUUUGUUUCCAGAGUGAGGUCUUCAGAAUUCUCACAGAGAUGCCUUGCAUAUUUUAAAUGCCUCCAGUUCUUGCUGGCCUCUCUCCCAGAGGCAGGGCUUAUCUUAGUGUGAGGAAAGAGAAAAAAGGAGGCUGCAGGACCUCAGUUCCCCAGGGAACACAACUCAGCAUUUCCUGAAGUGACUGUGUUACUCUUCAUGAUAGAGCAUGGAAAUUCCAGACGCUUAGGGCUGGGAUCCUCCAGGCUGUCUCAUCCAGGAAGGGAGACUCAUUCUUUACAUCUUUGUCCAUAUAAGGGAAAAUGCUCCAUUCCGAAGGAUGACUUAUGGCAGGGUGAUUAAGCUCUCAGAAGCCAUCUUGGCCCCGGGGAGAUGGCAGUGGGGUUAUUUAUCUUGAAACGGGUCUUAAGAGUGUGAACCAGGCCAGGCUUGCCUCUGCCUCCCAUAUGCUGGGAUUAA
rnacentral:lncRNA from 1 species